GGGGAAUAUUGGACAAUGGGCGAAAGCCUGAUCCAGCCAUGCCGCGUGAGUGAUGAAGGCCCUAGGGUUGUAAAGCUCUUUCAACGGUGAAGAUAAUGACGGUAACCGUAGAAGAAGCCCCGGCUAACUUCGUGCCAGCAGCCGCGGUAAUACGAAGGGGGCUAGCGUUGUUCGGAAUUACUGGGCGUAAAGCGCACGUAGGCGGAUACUUAAGUUAGGGGUGAAAUCCCGAGGCUCAACCUCGGAACUGCCUUUAAUACUGGGUAUCUCGAGUAUGGUAGAGGUGAGUGGAAUUCCGAGUGUAGAGGUGAAAUUCGUAGAUAUUCGGAGGAACACCAGUGGCGAAGGCGGCUCACUGGACCAUUACUGACGCUGAGGUGCGAAAGCGUGGGGAGCAAAC
rnacentral:rRNA from 1 species